AGUAGGAAAUAAAAAUGAUACUUGCACAAAAAUAAUACAUGCAAAAUUAAAGAUUUAAAAGAUUUCCAUAUGGCAUAUUCGGUCAUGUUCCAAGGAGCAAGACACUACGUACUAAGACUUUAGAGUCCUGGGUAAAUGACAACAUCGGUCGACUUCGGAGUCCAUUAGCACCUUCGGACCUUGACUGUAACAUCGUUCUAUGCAGCAGACGUUUAACAGGAGUCUGCUAAGUGAUCCAUUUUUCUUUAGCGAUGGCGUAUUCAAUUCUUCCUUAACUUAUUAUAGCGUAAUUGGUCCUGUUGUAAAGCUUUUGUGAUUACUCCUUUUAUCACGCGACAAGACUACAGCUGCCGCUGGAGAUUUCCAUCGAUUGUUACCACUUCGCUGGUCAAGUUAUAAUAAACCCUGGGCUUCUGAACUGCAAGGAUGUCUUAGGUGCAAAAUUUGGAUUUAGAGUUCCUGUUUUAACGUUAGUCCCACACUUGAUUCAGCUGCUUUCUUAAGCAACAGGGUUUUGCCCCAGGUGAGGAUGAGCGAAAUGGCUGGUGCCGGUGGGCAGUUUCUGACGUGACUUCACGAGAGCUUGGCAUUCCGUCUUAUUUCGGCAUUGCGUUGAAGUAUCGAUAAUUACGACUGGCUUCGAUGUAGUAUGGUAUUGUGACCAUGUAACGGUUUGAGACAUAGCCGGAAGAUUAAUAAGAAGAGCUGGCUUAUGGACAUUUCGCGAAGCACCGGUAGCGUUUUAAGCUCUUACAACCGAAGAAAGUGAGAGACCAGUGAAGAGACUUUGGUGACAGCUGGUAGGUAGGUGCAGGAUUUCUGCUCGUGAUACUGUAAGUUUUAACUGCCCCCACCAAGACUGCUGUACGGUCUGUCAGAUGCUUUGCGAAUGUUUUGAGGUCUCUUGAAGAGACCAUUUUUCCUACUGAGAGAGAUUGAAUAACAACUGGUUCCAUGCUACGUAUAAACACCAACCAACCAAACUAACAAUACUGUGGGAGAUAAUACAAGCUGCGUCCGUAGUUUCUUGGAUCCACCCGAAGUUAAGCUUACUUUUCAAGACCAUUCUCGGCAAGAUACGUAUCUGCAUAAUUUUAUUUGUUAUCCAGAAUCCAGGACAUCACAUUGUUACUUUAAUAAAAGUAUAACGUUUAUGUAUUUGUGUGUUAACCAAAGUAUUAGUACUUGCAUCAGAUAUUAGUAGAUUAGAUAAAUUUAUUCAAUCUUAUUCAUAGACUUUUGUUGUACUGGGUUGUCCAUGGAACAUUGAGUUUUACUCUGUACACUAUGAGUCGUUACUCAUACACAGGUAAUGUUUGAUAUUCAUGCACAAGCAAUGAGUUUGAGAAUUACUCUUGAAUACUGGCAAUGAGUUUAUAAUGUUGCUCAUGAACACAGGCAAUAGUUUUGUGAUGUUAAUCACGAAUACUGGCAGUAGUUUUGUGAUAUCAUCAUGAACGGAGGUAAUGGAUUUACUUAACGUGAACCUUGUCAAAUGCGUAUUAUGCAUAACAUGAACGAAGAUAAGGAGUUAAUAUACGAUCGGCACAAAGGUUGAUUUUCAUAAGGCAAUGACAGAGUCAUUCAUACUAACCUUGAAUAAGGGCAGUGGUCGCCGGGGCUGUUCAUAAGUGGUAAUUUU